rnacentral:misc_RNA from 1 species
GAAAUGCGAUAAGUAAUGUGAAUUGCAGAAUUCAGUGAAUCAUCGAAUCUUUGAACGCACAUUGCGCUCGCCAGUAUUCUGGCGAGCAUGCCUGUUCGAGCGUCAUUUCAACCAUCAAGCUCUGCUUGCGUUGGGGAUCCGCGACUGCCCGCGGUCCCUCAAAAACAGUGGCGGGCUCGCUAGUCACACCGAGCGUAGUAACUCUACAUCGCUAUGGUCGUGCGGCGGGUUCUUGCCGUAAAACCCCCAAUUUCUAAGGUUGACCUCGGAUCAGGUAGGAAUACCCGCUGAACUUAAGC